GUUAGUUUCUUUUUAUUACUAUUUAGUAUUUUAGAUAUUUUAUUAGUUACAGUUUAGAAAUCUUCACAUUGUUUAGUGUUUCUAUUAACUAUUGCCACUAUUGAUUUUUAUAUAAUUUUAAUGCUUUUAAUAUAUUUUCUGAUUUAUAUCUAAUGUCCACUUUACAUCAACAAUAAAUUGAACAAGAAAUUGACAAAGUUAUUCAAGGCCAAAUUUAACGUGUACAAAAUGUAUGGUUUGUAAAAGAAAAUAAAGGAAUUUGAUGAAAUAGAACAAUUGGAUAUGUUUUAUUUUGUCAAAUUUCUUUAUUUUCUUUUUAUUCACGGCAAAAUUGGGUGUUUUGUAUAAGUCAAAUUUGACCUUGAAUAACUUUGUCAAUUUCUUGUUCAAUUUAUUGUUGAUGUAAAGUGCACUUUACAUUUGUUUUCGAUUUUUAAAUUAUAUAUUGUGUUCUAUUCAAUUUUGAAUUUUAGAUGUUACAGUAAGAAAUAUUUUACAACAUGGCAACACUGUCAGUGUUUUUAGAUUACCUCAAAUGUCAACUACAAAUUGGUUAUGUUUGGUUGCCCUAAACUUGAUGUUGUCCGAAAAAGAACCUUAGUAGUUAGUAGAAAGGAAAGCAAUUUUAGAUUCCAACCGUAUUAUUACUUGUGAAAUAUUAUCAUCUAGUGGGAAAACCGCAGUGAUUGUACCUUCAAACGGGCAAUUUGAAAGGACAACCCCACCAAAAACCAUUAUAAUUGUAAAUUGAAAUGAUUGAUAUUACAAAUGUUUGUACCUAUGUAAUUGUACAUGUAAAGCUGAAAAUUCAGGCAUACCAUGGAAAAUUUGAAAAAAUUAAGCACCACAGACAUCAAACAACAGUGGGGAUAAUUUAAAAAACAAUAAUACAACAUAGUCAACAAUAAAGUCCUACCAGUCUGCUGAUAAAUGGGCUACUGAUAUUGUACUAAAUUAUGAUUUAGCUCUAUUUUACUCAAAUAAUGUUGAAGUAACUCUGUUGAAAUAUCUUUAGCUAUGCUAAACCAAACUGGAGAAGCAUGAAAAAAGCUGACGUGACUGCAAGUAACUGGGACAAUUUAUUGCCAUUUAUUUACUUAUCAUAAAAAUAAAAGCCCAAGUUGGCCACUUAAAGUCAACCAAUUGUAUAAUUCCAAUUUUAAAUAAAAUACUGUACCCUUCCGUGGGAAAAAAUUAUGAAUCAGUUGCUUUAAAUAUGUAUGAAAAAAUAAGUCUAAGUAUGUAUGUAUGUAUUAUCAGUUUUAUUCCAAUUAUAUAAGUAAAAAACUUGUUUUAAAAGAA